GCGUGGCCGAAUGGUAACGCUGUCCGCUUUGUAAGCGGAUGAUUCUGGGUUCGAUUCCCAUCUGCUGCA
rfam:Culex pipiens quinquefasciatus supercont3.1382 genomic scaffold, whole genome shotgun sequence.